GAAAUGUGAUACGUAAUGUGAAUUGCAGAAUUCAGUGAAUCAUCGAAUCUUUGAACGCAAAUUGCACUCUUUGGUAUUCCGAAGAGUAUGCUUGCUUGAAGGUUGAUCAAAUAAAAUCGUUUUUUUACGGAUCUGAGUUUUCCAAAGGUUCAAAAUUUUGGUAACUUUAAAUUUAUUUUAACGAUAUAAAGGUACUAUAUUGGAAAUGUUAUAUCUUGCAUAUUGUAAGUUCAUUGACAAUUAUUAUCAAUCGUUACUUCGUGUUAUUUGCCUAAUACCUUUCUUGAUUAGGUUAUAAGUGACACAAAUUUUUUUUCAAUAUCAAGUCAAGUAAGAAUACCCGCUGAACUUAA
rnacentral:misc_RNA from 1 species